rnacentral:misc_RNA from 1 species
GUGGACUAGAAGCAUCUGGAUCUUUCAGUCGCUCAGGUGACCUGCUUUCCAGCUUUGAAUCACCAUCAGAUACUCUACGUUCAUCAGCUCUCUUUCCAUUUCCAAAUCUAUCCUCCCGACGCCAAUCAUUAACUAUCUCAGCACGAGUAGGACUUCUCCUGUAAUCAUUAUAUUGUCGAUUUUCUUGAUCAUAUCCAGGACUUCUCUCAUCGUAACCAUAUCUAGAAUUUCUAUCAUCACUUCUUCCACCGGGACUAGACAUUUCACUGUAUCGGCGUUCAUAUGUAUCUUCAUAUGGUGGGCUUCGAGACCCUCCUUGGUACGAGUCCUCUUUGUCACCCAACUUUACACU